AUACUCACUUCAGAAGCAUGCACACUAACUCUGGAACCUUCGAAGAAGCUUAGCAUGGUCCCUGCCCAAGGACGAUAUGCAAAUUCAUGAAACAUCCCACACCCUU